rnacentral:rRNA from 1 species
AUUGAACGCUGGCGGCAGGCCUAACACAUGCAAGUCGAGCGGAUGAAGGGAGCUUGCUCCUGGAUUCAGCGGCGGACGGGUGAGUAAUGCCUAGGAAUCUGCCUGGUAGUGGGGGAUAACGUCCGGAAACGGGCGCUAAUACCGCAUACGUCCUGAGGGAGAAAGUGGGGGAUCUUCGGACCUCACGCUAUCAGAUGAGCCUAGGUCGGAUUAGCUAGUUGGUGGGGUAAAGGCCUACCAAGGCGACGAUCCGUAACUGGUCUGAGAGGAUGAUCAGUCACACUGGAACUGAGACACGGUCCAGACUCCUACGGGAGGCAGCAGUGGGGAAUAUUGGACAAUGGGCGAAAGCCUGAUCCAGCCGUGCCGCGUGUGUGAGGAAGGUCUUCGGAUUGUAAAGCACUUUAAGUUGGGAGGAAGGGCAGUAAGUUAAUACCUUGCUGUUUUGACGUUACCAACAGAAUAAGCACCGGCUAACUUCGUG